rnacentral:lncRNA from 1 species
UAUCAUCAUUAAAUGCUUUUGACAUCCAUCUUCUCCUAUCUUUAUGUCUCCAUCGUCUUUGUCUUGAUGUUUCUUUUGACUGUGCUUAUACCGCAGUAAUGUAAUGCUACCUUUUUUACUGUUAAUGCUAAAAUUUCAAAAAUAUGUUAAAUCGUUCUAUUUUCUUGUCUUACAUCUUUCAUUUCAUUUUUUACUCAUCUUCCACCUUCUUCUCAUCUCAAGUUCUUCACAGAGCACUUCAUGUUCAUCUCAUUUUCUCCCCUCAAUCUAAGUUACGUUUUUUGGUUCUCUUCUUCAUUUGUUAUAUGUAUUCAUAACAUCAAGAUAUGUCUCAAAAUUCAUUAAAUGUUAUUGAUCAAUCAUCACCCUUACCACAACCUAACAUUGAGCCCCAAAACACCAUUCAUUUCUCUCUUAAUUCUUCCUCAAUAUAUAUCACACCACCCUCAUAUCGUCCCCUUCAUGCCCAACCAUUGAACACACCCACAGAGCAUACUAGACCUCAGUAUAAUGUUAGUCUUGUUUUUUAUUCUAUCCAAUUCGAAAAAUCAUCUGGUUGUAUUCCCAAUGAUACCUAUGGUAAUGCUGAAUGUUCAAGAAACAAUGAUUUUCCACUAAUUCCUAAUGCUACUUAUGGUCCUCAUGAAUAUAAUGAUAUUCCAUUAGACAUUGGUCAGAUACCUAUUUCCUCUGGGAUUAAUGAUGUAACCGAACUACCUAAUGCUAAUAAUUCUUCCGACAAUUUUUCUCCCAGUUUUUUCAUUCCCAAACAACCUACUGAUACCAAUGCUUCUUCAGACAAUGUUAAAGUGAAUUCACCACCAUUUGCUGGUCAAAUUUUUUCUUCAUAUUCAGAUGCUCUUGACCGAUAUUUUGGUUAUGCGUCGAAAGGCGGUUUUCUCUGUUCGUUUGGGUUCUACAAACUAUAAUACUAGUAAGGUUGAUGGUAAUAAGCUAUUAGUUAUGCGACGAUUGUUGUGUUCGAAAGAAGGAAAAGUCGACCUAUUACAUCCUGUUAAAUUAGGCAAGCGUCGUAAGAAUGCAGUUUCAAGGUGUGGUUGUUGUGCAAGUAUGAAAAUGAAGAGAGUCGAAAUGUCUGAACAAUGGAUUGUUAAAAAUAUUGUUCUAAAGCACAAUUAUCCCCUCACUACACCAUCAAAAGUACGAUUCCUUCCAAUAAAUCGUUCGAUAUUCUCUACCUCUAUAUUACUUUUCAAUUCUCUUAGUGAAGUCAACGCACCUGUUUCUCAGCAAACUGCUUAUUUUUCUUCUCAAGUUGGUGAAAUCGAGCAUAUGUGAUGUACUCAAUUGGAUAUAUCGAAUUUGGGUCGUGACGAUCAUGUCGAUUUGAAGAAUUAUGACGUUGAUCUAUUGGUCGAGGAAUUCGAAAUAAAGAAGUCUGUACAACCGGAUUUCUUUUAUUCUAUUGUCAAGGAUUCGACAAACAGAUUGAAACAUGUUUUUUGGACUGAUUCUAUAAUGAUUCAACAUUUCAAGUUAUUCUGAGAUGUAGUUACAUUCGAUACCACUUAUAAGACGAAUGUUUAUUCUUUGAUAUUUGAAAUGUUUUGUGGAGUCAAUCAUAGAAAGACUGUCAUUUUCGGUAGUGCAUUCCUUAGGUAACAUUUCAUUUAAGUAAUGAUUGUUGUCGACUUAUGAAUGCUACUAUAUUAUAUCCUAAUGUAUAUUUUUAUAUCCAAAUAAAUAACUUCACAUUUUCUUCAUAUUAGUAACGAGAACGUCGAUGUAUUUACUUAGUUGUUUAAAAUCUUUGCUGAGUGUAUGAGGACUACUCCGAAAUCUAUAAUUACUGAUCAAGAUCUUGCAAUGAAAGGUGUCAAUAUUACAAUUGCUUUUCCUACAACAUUUCAUCGUCUUUGCCGAUGACAUAUCACCAAUAAGUUGUCAACUAAAGUGCCCACUGUUUGUCGCGACACCAAUGCCUUAAAUUUAUUUUAUCAAAUUAUUAAGUAUUCCGAAACUCCGGAUGAUUUUGAAAAAGCUUGGGCUCUAUGGUUGACCAAUAAUCAUUGGUUGUCAAACGUUUGGUUGAAGAGUUUAUAUGAAAUUCGGAAGUCUUGGGUAUCAUGUUUGACGUGCGAACAUUUUUUCGCUGGGAUGCAUUCAACCCAAAGGAGUGAGGGUAUGAAUUCAUUUCUCAAGACUAGGGUCACUGCCAAAAAUUUACUAUUUCAAUUCGUUCGUCGUUAUGACAAUAUGAUAAAUUCAAUCCGAGAGACUGAGAAUCUGAACAAUCAUAAGGACACCUUUUGGCAUCCAAAAUAUAUUACAUCUAUAGAAAUUGAAGUUGAUAUUUUAAAAUUUUAUACGACCGUUAUUUUUCUUUUAUUUCAAGAGGAGAUGCAGAGAAGUUUUUUCUAUCAUAUACUAUCAGAGACGGACGUUUCAAGUCAGGUAUAAUUGUACAUAUGCCCUUUGUUAUUUAAAUUUUAUUAAUUUAACUUUCUCAUUUCUCUCAUUUCUUAUUUAGUUUUGUUACCUGCUAAUGCUAUUAUGAUAUGGUCAUGUUGCGAAUCAUCACCCUAGGUGCUUCUACGACUCAAUGUAAUGCUAUUAUGUGUGGGUGCAAUGAUUGGAGGCCAAGUUUUCCUUAAUGCUUGGAACUCCCCUACUGAUGCUAUUAUUACUUGGUCAUGUUGCGAAUCAUCACAAUAGAUGGUUAUUCGAAUGAAUGUAAUGCUAUUAUGUGUGUGCGCAAUGAUCAGAGGACAAGAUUUCCUUACUGUUUGGAAAUUACCUGUUAAUGCUACCAUUACAUGGUCAUGUUGCGAAUCAUCACCAUAGAUGCUUCUACGCCUCAAUGUAAUAUUAUUACCUAUGUGCGCAAUGAUCAGAGGACAAUAUUUCCUUGCUGUUUGGAAAUCACCUACUAAUGCUACUAUUACUUCGUCAGGUUGCGAAUGCUUACAAUAUAUGCUUUUUUGAAUGAUUGUAAUCUAUUAUAUGUGUGCGCAAUGAUCAGAGAUUUCCUUACUGCUUGAAACUUACCUACUAAUGUUAUUAUUACUUGUUCAUGUUGCGAAUGAUCACAACAGAUGCUUCUACGACUCAAUGCAAUGAUAUUAUUUGUGCGCGCAAUGAUUAGAGGAUAAGAUUUCCUUACUGUUUGAAACUUACCUACUUAUGCUAUUAUUACUUGUUCAUGUUGCGAAUGAUCACAGUAGAUGCUUCUACGACUCAAAAAUAAUGCUAUUAUGUGCCACUGGCUGUUUUGAUGGUAAACAAUAAAAACGAGUUUUUAAAUAACAUCAGAAUUCAAUCUUUUUGAAAUUAAAUGAUAACAAUGAAAUCUCUUACAAUUGCGCUUGCGCUUCUCCAAAGGCAUUGUUAGAAACUCUGAAUGUAUAUUAGAAAGCACACUAGACUUUAAAAAAAGAAAGAGUGUUAAACCGUCGGGAUCUUCUAUUUCAUCUAUUCUUGGUUGUGUUAAUUGUAUUUGAAAUGAUCGGAGAUCGCUAGAAUGAUUCGACGAAGAUAUUUCUUUUUGUUUUUAAUUUUUACAAAAUCAGUGAAAACUCAACAAAUUCGAUUGUCUAAUACAUAUAUUUCCAAAUGCAAUGUACAAAUAUAAGAUUGAAUAGCUGAUAAAUGUACCUUCGUAUGUUGGGAGAAAAAGCCUACACACAAUUACAAUUUAAAACUCUGUUUUUUCAAUGCACACCAAACGCCCAAAUAUGCACGUUUACAAAAAAGAAAUCACCCCAACCAAUAUACAUUAUUAUCGCUUGAUCACAACAUUUAUUUUAAUAGAAAUCGCUUUAAACCUCAACCAUAUACAUCUAUCUAAAAAUAGUACCUUCUACUCUGAAAAUCACAAAAACUAAACACUCACUAAAACCGAAAACCCUGUUUCGUCAAUGAACCUGAUGAAGCACGGAAUCUGCUACCAGUAGGCUCGCGGGGUUGCGAGGAGGGCCGGAGGCUUUGGAGUCCACGACGCGCGCUCUACGUCAAUAUACCUGCAGAAGAGGAGGGGAAUCGGCGACUCCCUUAGGAGUAGGCGAUUCGGGCUCCUUGGAUUGCUCUGGUUGGAGUGUGUGUCAAGAGAGUGAGUUGAGGGUAGAGGUCCCCCAAGGACCCCUUUUAUAGGGUCUUGAGGGACGUUUCCCCAUUCAUUCGAGUGGGGCCCACGCCAUUAAGGUACCCCAAUAAGGAAUGCCUUAAUGGCGAGAGUCCGCUCAGGUAACGGCUGGGAGUCGGCGAUUCAGGUAUCGGAAUCGCCGAUCCAGAGGUUCAAUCGCCGACUCCCCAUGAGCCUAGUGGCAGCCUACCAGAGCUGUCCACGAGGCCUAGAGUUGGCGAUUCCCCCCUGGAGUCGGCGACUUGGUAGUCCCAAUCGGUGACUCCCAAGUGUUAGCUUGAGCUCUUGACGUAGACACGUGCUCCGCACCGUGGAAGCCUUUCCGGGGGUCCGGCAUAUAGCGACGGAACCUAUUCCUUGUCGAAGGUCGUUGCUGGGAGUGACUGACGUGUUCAGGCAUGUCUCACCAGAACCCAUAAAAACAGAGUAGCAACGGAACCCAUCGGAUGGAAGGAGGCAAUGAUUUAAAUAGAAAAUUUCGGAUGUCAUACCUUCUUCAAUGGCCGCGUCUGAUGGAAGAAGGCGACGUUUGAACUACGGUUUUGGAGACAAAAAAAUCCGUCGAGAGUGAUGGUUGAUAAAAAUUGUUGUUUUCUGUCUUACUAAUUCGAUAGUAUGUAAUGCUAAGAAAGAAAUUUGAUUUGAUAGAUAGCAGACUAUGACAUGACACUCGUAAAGCUACACUUACAAUCUAUUAGUCUAGUGGUAGUCUCAUAGCAGGUUUUUAUUUUUUUUACACGGUAACACCGGUUGGCACAAGUUCAUGCAUCUACACCUUUAAUUUUAUCAACCGUCGAUUUUAAUUUAUUUUUUUCCACGGCCCGGAUCAGACGAGGUUCGCAUGCAAACCUGUCGUAGCUGAUACGGGCCGAUUUUAAAUAACUGGUGUGACCUAAUCUUCUAUGCCACGGGAUUUUUUCAUCACUUGCGACAAGCAUGCAGAAGUCAUGAGUUGGCUUGGACUUAACAAAGUUUAAAGAAUAAGCAUUAUUUUUUCUAUCUCCUUUGGAAAUAGUAACUCCCUCGGAGUUAAUAAUUAGACAGCUAUAUUUUUCAAAUUUUACUACACAACCAAUGUCACAUAAUUGACCUAUGCUAAUCAGAUUAUGCUUAAGAUCCCAUUUACUAAAUGAAACUUUCUUAAAAAUGGUCUUUCUUUAUUUCCUACAUUACUCCUACCUACUAUGGUACCUUCGUUGUUGUCAGCGAACUUGACUUUUCGGACUGUAGACAACAUGACUAGUUCUUUGAGUAGAGUUGAGUCUCUUGUCAUGUGUUUUAUGCAUACGCUAUCAAACAACUAUUUCGAGGUUUAACUUACUUGCAAUAGUCGAAUGAUCCUUUGGUACCCAUACUGAGUUGGGUCCAGAUGAUUUAACAAAUUUAAGCAAUUUAUACUUACUCAAUUCACCUUUAGUCAUCCAUUUUUGUUUCAAGCAUGUAGUUAUAGGAGGCGAGUGUGAUUCCUUAACAAAGUAUUUGUUAUAUUUAGUAGAGGAAUAUGGGGAUUUAUGAUUAUUAUCAACACCAAACCCUAGACCAAAUUUCUUUUAGCCAGACCUUGAGUUAUUAAUCAUCUCAUUCAGCUUGGUUGAACUGUCAGAGUAUUUUUGAAGAAUGAUAUUUUUAACCAUUAUAUCUUUAUACUUGCAUGGAAUUUUCUAUCUCAGAAGAAUUAUGAUCAUGCAUGGCUAAAUUUUCUUUAAGCAUAUUGAUUUCAUUUAAUUUUUCAGAUAAGGUGAUGCUUGAAGUAAUUUCAUUUUCCUUGAUUUUUUCUUCUAAGAGCUGGAUAUUAUCAUGAUAAUCAAUUUUAGAUUUACUAGCAGAUAAUUCCAUUUUAUCUAUUUUUGAUUCUAUCAAUUCAUGAUCUUCAAAAUUAGAUUUCUCAGAUUCAAGAUGAUCAAGCAACAUAAUAUUCUGUUCUUUUAAUUGCUUAAUGAUUUUAUCUUGUUUUUCUAGUUUUAAUUCUAAACUAGAGUUUGUUUCUUUUAAUAUCAUGCAAGUCUUAGAUUCAGUUUCAUACAUGCAUUUUAAAGAUCGAUUUUGUCUUUUAGCAUUUUUAUAUUUUUGACUUAGAUUUCAAAAUGCAUCUUCUAAGGAAUUUAAACUUAAUUGAGCUAGGAGAAGUUACCUCAUUGUCGUUUUCCAGAGCCAUGAGACAUUCAUCUUGUUCAGAUUCAGAGUCACAAUCAGUCCAUUGUGCUUGAUGAGCUCCUUCCUUAGAUUUUAGCAGAGGACAGUCCGACUUGAUGUGACCUACCUUUUAGCAAAUGAACUCCUUGUCCUUGCUAGAUGACUCCUUCUCAGAUGAGAUCCUAUUUGGGUAGCUUUUGUGCUCUGACCUUGAUUUUCUUUAAUAUUUGCGAUCCUUACCUUUUGAGUCUCUCUUUCUCAGAAUGUAGUUUCGGAUCUUGUUUGUGAUCAAGGCCAGUUCAUCAUCUGAGAAUUCAUUUUAUGAUUGGCUUCUGAGAGCUAUGUCCUUUUUCUUCUCAAGUUUCACCCUCUUCAGUAAUUAUGAGGGGUUCAUAAGGCUCCUCAGCAACAAGAGGAGAACAGUCUCAACAUCUGGAAUCGUCGAUUAAUAAUCUGGAUGUACAAUCGGUGAUUUAUGUAGUACAAUCGCCGAUUCUAUAGGCAGUCGACGAUUUCUCCAAGCUGUUAGCACGAAGUUCAAUCGGGCGUUUGGGGCCGAGGAGAUUGCUAGGUUGCCACCCGCAGAAAUCAUCAAUUCCACUAGGGAAAUGGGCAAUUUCUCGGGCGGCACUCCUCUUCGCCGACAUCUUCCUCAAUAGGCGAUCCCACCGAGGGAUUCGUCGACUUUCUAAUGUCUUGGGGAGAACCCUAGGCGCAAAAAGAAAUCGACGAUUCAACCUCGUUGAUCGCAUCUAUUAGGCUUUGGCUCAACACAGUCUCAGCGAUUUCAACAUCGCAUGAGGGAAUCGGAAAUCGACGAUUUCGUGGUCCGUUCGUACUACUACGAUUUAAUGAGUACUUUGACCAUAAAAUGUUAGACCUUAUUAUGUUGAAGCUUUUAUAAAAUUCAAAUAUAUCUAAGGUUUUUUCCCUAUAUUUUUUUUCGAAAAAUCAAACUAUACCAAAAUAUAAUUGAUGGUGUGUGGAUCGCCGGAGUGCUCACACAUGCAACUCUCUCUCUAGUACUUUCUUUUCCGAUUCUCAACCUCCUCCCCUGUUGGAUCAGGGGAGGUAUUUAUAAUGUUACCCCAGGAGGCCCGUAGGCUUUUUGGGCCUUCCCCGGUCCAGUCCAUUAUUCGUGCGGUUGGGCCCGAAUGUAGCUGGUUCGGUCCACAAACCGUUGGGACGGUCCGUGGUACUGAUGAAGCACUGAAUCUGCUACCAGGGCUCGCGGUGGUGCGAGGUUGAUGCCGGAGGCUUUGGAGUCCACGACGCACGUUCUACGUCAAAAUACCUGCAAGUGAAACUAGGCGAUUCUAAUGAGACUCGCCGAGUUUCGUAGUGUAGUGCUCUGGUGUGAGAGUGGAACUUGAAUCGUGCCUUCGAGUGUCCCCUUGAGACCCCUUUUAUAGGGUCUCGGAGGGCGCACUCAUCGGCGGAGAUCGCGCCUAUGGUCAUAUAUGGUAACAUUUAUGACGUUGUCUGCCGUCGAGUAACGGUCGUAAGUCGCCGAUUCAGGUAUGGAAGUCGCCUAGUUAAGGGCUAAUUCGGCGAGUUUCUAAGGCCAAGAUGUGCAGUCUACCAUACUGCCGAUCUUGCCUUAACUCGGCGAGUUAUCCUGUAUGUCGGCGACUUGGUAGUCCAAUCGGGCGACUUUACGGGCUAACUCGGCGAUCUGGACGAUGAACGAUGUUCAGCACCGUGGGAGCUCUCCGGGGGUCCUGCCAUAGAGACGGAGCCCUAGUCCUUGUUGAGAGGCGUUGAUGGGUAGUGACUGGUGUAAUCAGGCAUGUCUCACCAGGUACCAACAAUAAUAAUAUAUCAAAAAUUUACUUCAUUAAAAUUUAAUAAAAUAUUAGAAGACAAAAUGCAUCAAUACUAGCUAAAGUCGAUAUUCCCCAAUAUACGUGUCCAUAUUCCCCAAAACAAAAUGCUAAAGUCGAAAGAAAACAUAAACACUUGCUAAAAACAGGAAGAACACUACAUUUUCAAGCUAAUAUAUAUACUAGGGUGAGUGUAUAUUAGCAACUACAUAUAUAGUUAAUAGAUUACCUUCAAAAAUCCUGGAAAAUAAAACUCUAUAUGAAAUUUUAAAUAAAAAUAAAUCAAAUUAUAAAAUGAUUAUUAGAAGUUUGAACUCUAAGUUGUUUAUGCUACAUAACUACUAAUCAUAUAGAACAUGAGUUUUGUAACAAUGGGUUUAGACCUCAAUGAAGUGAUGAGCCGACUCAAGGAGGAAUUAGCCAUUACAGAUUCUCCGGAGGAAGUACCCGGUACGUCAGAGUCGCCCACUACAGGAGAACCACCCACUCCGGGAGAACACUACCUAAUCAAACCGAUUAGAAACAAGAAGAACGUUCCCAACCCAGAUUUUAUUUAUUAUUUGCUGUAAGUGGUUAUAGCCACAACGUAUAUUCCUUUUGCUUUAGGGUAGAGUUAGUUAGUACUGUAUUAAUCACGACCAUGGUAUUUUGGCAUUAAAUAAUGAAUGAAACGGAUGGCUAGGCAUCCAAGUUCAAACUAAAAAAAUCCCUUCUCGUCCUACGGUUCCUUCGGGAGAAGUCUCCUCAUCACCUCCGGCUCCCUCAAGCGAAUUUUCACCUCGUCACCUCCGGCCUUCCAAGGGUUAUCUCUGACCAAGUUCGUAACAUCCCACCAAGGGUGUUACAUUGGUGCUUUCUCUGACCUCUUUGCACGGGAGCUAUAAGGUUCUGCACUCGACGGAGUUAUGUCUAAUACGGCAAAAAAUUAAUCGGAAAGAGUCAAUAGAAGAAACACGUCAAGUUCCGGGUGCAAUUAUUGAUGAACAAACGGCCCACCAAACCGAGAUAACACUCUGCCAAGAUGCGGCGAUUGCGGCAAUAGCGAACACUGUGCUCAAAUUAACUACCAACGAGCAGAGAAACUUCCCAUACGACGCCAAAGAAGAAUCGGUGAACGUACGCCAAGCGUGCAAUCAAUUUGGAUUUCCCACGUUUCACUAAGGAAGAUCCGGAAGGCUGGCUAUAUCAGGUGGACGAGUACUUUGCGUUCCACAGGAUUAGAGAAGAAUCGAAGGUGCAAAUUGCGGGGUUCCAUAUGACGGGCAAGGCUCUAAGAUGGAUCCGAGGCAUGAGGCGGAACACACUUAUUACAAUCUGGGCGAAAUUCGUAGAUAACUUACGAGAAUAAUUUGGAAUGGUGGAGUACGAGAACAAGUUAGAGGAUCUGUCCAGAUUGCAACAAACAUCAACAUUAGCCGUUUAUCUAAAGAGAUUCGAGGAUCUGUUAAACGAUGCGGAGGAACAAAUAGAACAAUCUCUGAUCACUUACUUCGUAGGUGGGCUCAAGCCGGAACUGAAGAGUGAGUUAAAAAUACUAAAACCGAUGACGUUGAGACAAGCUUUCUCGGCCACCAAGGUCUACGAUCGAAGCCCAUCCAGGACGUUGACAUUUAUCACGGCGGACUCCGUUCCGACAAGGCACAGGAACGCCACUGACCGACCCGUUACUCAAAACACUCCCGAUAUAUCCAGGGCAAUGUCGAUCAUGAGAAAGACUCUAAAAGUGGAGGAACUGUGGAUACGCACAACAAAAGGCCUAUGCUUCAAUUACGAUGAAGCCUACUCGCCCGACCAUCGUUGCAAGGGCCGUUUGUUUCGCAUGGAUGCGGAGCAAGGAUGUUUAAUCUAAAUGUAUGAUGAACCGUCGGAGGUGAAAGACCAACUCGAGCCGGAAGUCAGAGAGGAGGGGGCGACAGAAAUCAGUCUCCAAGCGCUUUCGGGAACGUUCAACCCAAGAACGUUGAGAUUACAAGGGUCGGUCCGACGGCACGAGUUCACAGUAUUGAUUGAUGGUGGCUCGACACAUAACUUCAUUCAAGAUUCCAUGGCCUAUAAACUUGGAAUUGGGUUGCAAUCGCUGCAAGAAUUCAAGAUGUUCAUCGGAAGCGGAGAAUACUUGGUGUGUCGUGAAGUCGUUAGACAAGUGUCGUUAACCAUACAAGAUGUUACCUUGAACGAGUACCUCUACUUUCUUUCGAUGGAGGGGGCUAUCAUUGUACUCGGUAUACAAUGGUUGGAAACGUUGGGUGCAGUUACGUGCGAUUACAAGAAAUUAUCAAUGGAAUUUGAGCUCCAAGGAAAGAUGAUUAUUUUAUAAGGUGACCUACCAUCACAUGUGUCGAAUAGUAGCCUGAAAAGUCUCAUGGGCUGGGAAGAGAUUGCUUACCUUUUCAAACUACGGUCCGAGCCCGCUAAGGAUCAAGUCAAACAGGAACUGGGGGUUGAUUUGUAAGAAAUUCUAAAAAAAACUACUAUCAUCCAGGAACCGACGAAGCCCAUUUUCUUCACCAGUUUCUGUUGGUUCGUAAGAAAGAUGGCACCUGAAGGUUUUGCAUGGACUACCGAGCAUUAAACUCAGCCACGAUUCAAGACCGGUUCCCGAUACCCACUAUGGAUGAGCUCCUAUAUGAGCUAAAUGGGGGCAACUAUUUUCUGUAAGCUGGAUUUAAGGGCCAGAUAUCAUCAAAUAAGAAUCGCGGAGGAUGACAUAGAGAAAACAGCUUUUCGCACACACCAGGGACAUUACGAAUUCUCCAUAAUGCCUUUUGGCCUUACUAACGCACCCUCGACCUUCCAGGCAACCAUCAAUCAUUUACUACAGGAUUUGUUGAGAAAAUAUGUUAUUGUAUUUUUUGACGAUAUACUUGUUUACAGUACCUCAAGGGAAGAACAUCUCAAACAUCUGGAAUCCGUUUUAGAGCUACUACAACAAAACUCUUUUUAUAUCCGGGAGUCAAAAUGUUCUUUUGGGGUAACGAGUUUGACCUAUUUGAGCCAUAUUAUUUCUUCAGCCGGAGUAAAACCCGAUCCUGACAAGAUAGAGGCAGUGAAGGCCUGGCCUAAGCCCAAAAUGGUAAAAUAGGUUAGGGUAUUUCUGGGCCUAUCUGGGUAUUACAGACGAUUUAUGGAAAAAAUACGCACAGUUGGCCGCCCCAUUAACAGAUCUAUUACGGAAAGAUAACUUCCAUUGGGAUGAAGUAACGAUGACAACCUUCAAUAAACUCAAAGAAAAAUUAAUCACGACACCCGUAUUAAUUUAUCCACAGAUUUUUCACUCUUUUAUCAUUAUGUGAUGUCGGUGUCGGAGCAAUUUCAAUGCAGCGGGAACAUCCGAUCGCAUACUACAGUAAGAAGCUAUCACCUACGAGACAACGAGCUUCAACCUAUGCCAAGGAAUUAUGGACGAUCACUGAUGCAGUGCAAAAAUGGAGGCAUUACCUGUGGGGCAAUGAAUUUACCAUCCGCACCGACCACUGGAGCCUCAAGAACCUGUUGGCCCAAACUAUUCAAACCUCGGAGCAGCAUUUUUUCGAUCUUAACAAAAUUGCUAGGGUAUAAACCCCAGUUUAGAAAUAAUCUUUCCUUUAUUCGAUAUAAUAUGUAAUAAAUAUUGACAAAUACUCUUGCCCUAGUUGUUUUUCACUUAUAAUAAUUUGUGAUCAACAUAUAUUUUUACUUAUUUUUAUUUUAUUGAACUUUUUCUUCAAUAUAUGUUAUCAAACUAAUUACAUAUAAACAGAAAACAAAUAUAUGACUUUUUUCAUCCCAUAUUUUAACAUAACAUAUUUUUAACUGGUUUAGGAAUAGUAUUUUCGUAAUUUAUUCGAUAUAAUAUAUAUUUUUUUGAUAAGAUUACUUUUGAUUAAUUUAAAUAUUGUUUGAAACAGAUUAGCUAAUAUACUACUUAAUAGUUACCUAAUUAAUUUUGCCAGCAGUUAGCAGUUGCUAACUCCAUCAUCCUUCGUCUUGGAUGAGCAACAGUAGGGCGUCUCUCCCUCUUUUCGCCUCGCGUUCCGUUGUCCUUCUUGUAGUUCUUUUCAUUAAAUCCGACUCCGACCAUGCUUAUGCAGUCUUGAUGACUACCUGUUUCGGCUCGGUCUGGUUCUUCACCCUCUGCUGGUUACGUUGCUUCUAUAUGUGGAACGUAAUGGCACCGAACAUGGUCCAGUGCAGACCCCAUGCCGAUGUUCCAGGCGUAAUUUUGUUUAGCUCGAGUUGUGCCUCUUUAAUUGUGUUGGUAGAGUCCAAGUUUAUAAGUGAGCCAGUAGCUUGUAGUGCUUCGUUGAUGAUCCACUUGGUGUACUCGCAUUUGAGGAAAAGGUGGACCGUAGUUUCUUGUUCGAUUCGGCAUGGAAAUUAUCUGUGUAUGUAUAUAUAUAUUAGAUGCAUGAACCGUAUAUUGCUUCUACCAGGUCUAUGUCUGCGCCUCUGAGUCUAGUUUUUCUAUCACCUUCCAUAUUAGUUGCAUCAACACGAUCUACCAACUUCUCAUUCAUGACUCCUCCAGUAACGACUGGAUUAUUAUGGGGCAGGUGAUAACAUGUCCAAUCAAAUGUAAGGCCAAUGAGUACAGAUCUAAGGAAUCGGUAAGAGGUUUCGAGCUGUCUGUUACCCAAGUUUCUCUUGAAUCAAAGGUGAACUUUACUUGAAUUGGAGGAGUUGUGGCCAAAGCUACAAGAAUGACAGUGGGAGUGGUAGUGUCAGCUACCGGCAAGAAUUGAAGAACUAUUUCGACUUUACUUUUCACCGAUGAAUAAAAUAUCGAUUAGAUAAGUAUUAUUGGUCAACAGGUCAACAUUGUGUAUUUGAGAAUUAUUCCUAAUUACCAUUAACUAUUCUUAAUCUUUAUCUUAUAGCAAAUUUCAAUAUAAGGAUGGAAAUAAUACAAAAGAGAAAUUCAUGGGAAUAAUACAAGAAAUACAUGGGUCGAAGAGAAGCUAAACCUUGAUUAAAAAUAAGCUUAUCAUAGAACAAAGGAAAAAUAUCCAACCACAUUUUUUACUUUUGUGAGAGAUCAAGGAACUAUUGCUUCAAGAUCUAAUGGAGGAGAUCAUUUGGCCAAAGCUAUAAAUAGGAUGGUAUACCCAUUGCAAAAGCCAACCACACUACAAGAGAUUUUCAAAUAUCAGCAUUGAGCCCUUCAUUUCCACUCUCAACGUCCACAACUUUCAAAAGUUCCAAGCUUCCAACGUUUUCAAAUUGUGUUCAAAGGUGUCAAAAGCUCUACACUUCUUCUUCUAAUCUUCUUGAGUGUUCAUAGCAAGUUUAAAGUGUUGUAAUCCUAAACUUUCUCCAUCAUUUUCGUGUGUAUUCCACUUUGGUUGAGAGGGUUGUCUCAAGAUCACCAAAGUGGAAAGGAGGGUUAUUAGGUUUAACCAUAAAACAUUAAGUUAAUUUUAUAGAGUUAUCUGAAAAACUCUUAGGGGCUACGUCUACCUGGAAAGACUUGGGAAAGUUGUAAGUUUAUUUUAAAAACUUAAAUGGUUUGUAAGCAUUGUAGUCUGUAAAAAGCCUGCUAUCCACGGACAUGGGUCUCAUGCCUUGAAGCUGUUUGAUGAAAUGGAGAAAGAGCAAAUAGUCCCCGACCAAGUGACAUUCGUUAGUUUGUUAAACGGCUGCAGCCACUGUGGGUUAGUGGAAGAAGGGUGCUGGGUUUUUGACGUGAUGCAACGAAUCUACAAUCUCAAGCCUCUGGUAGAGCACUACUACGGUUCAUAAUUAGUGGAUCUUCUGACUCGAGCAGGACAAUUGGAAGAAGCUUAUUCAACUAUAAAAUCAAUGCCUAUGGAACCCGAUCGAUCUUAUCAUAUGGAGGACACUUUUAAGUGGUUGUAGAAUUCGCCAACAACAACCCCAACUCGCUGAGAUUGCAGCGUCCAAGAUAUCCGGCCACGGCGGCAGUGGCAGUGGAUGGAGACUACGUCUUGCUGUCAAACAUCUACUCGUUAUUAGAUCGACGGCGUUCUGCUGAGAUGAUAUGGGAGACGAUGAGGAAGAAGAAGGCUCGAAAGGAGCGUGGUUUGAGUUGGUUCGAAAUCGACGGUCGAAUUUUCAAUUUAAAGUCAGGUGGUGUGAGGUCUCAUCCUGACUCAAAAAGCCAUGUGUUAAGUUGUUUGAUGGAAAAAUUAAAGGCAGCCGGAUUUGUGCCGGUGACAAGUAUGGUUAUGAUGGAUGUGUUGGAGGAGGAAAAGGAAGAGAAUUUGCCGUGGCAUACAUCGUGUCCAAGACAACUACGAUGGCGAGGGAUGAUCAUGCAUGAGGGGAAGGAAAUUAGAGCAUCUACCAUUUUCAUCGAUUUGAAAAUGGUAGAUGCAUGCUCUUGUAGUGAUAUUUCUACGUUUGAACUUUGCAAAUAUAUAUUCAAACAGAAUUGCUAAUAUCGAUCCCUUUCAGAACCUCUCCAGUUUCAUCCAUCGUCUUCAUUGUUGCGGUCAGAUCUUUUACACUAGGAGCGGCUUGUCGACAUGAGCUACAGUGUCGACGAUAGUGUUGGCCGGAAAUCAUUGGCAGUGGUUCGUCCAUGGAUGUUGCUUGCAACCGAUCGAGUAAAGAAAGGAGAUCGAGUUUGGCAUCUACCAACAAAAGAUAAGCAAAAAAACGUCGACCAUGAAAGAAAAAGAGAAAAUGAAUCGAGAGUGCACGCAACAAGCGAGCAGACGGGAAGACAUGGCUGAGACGGCGAGCUUUUUGUCUCCCCCAUCGAGAGGUGGUUGAAGAGGUGCCUGCCGGUGCUUUCUGAAAAUUUCCUCUCGAGGAAUAAAACAAAGAUUUGGCCGAAAAAACUCAUAAUUACUAUCUAUAUCAUCUUCUACCUAAAUCAACUUUUUAUUUCCAAUUUUACCCUACUACUAUCUCCACCACCUCCACUUAAUUACUAUAAAUAUUAAAAAUCGGACAUCCACCUUUCACCAACUAUCUCAUAAUAAGUCGCGUCUAUUCAUUAACACUUUACAGCUGACCUCGGCUUCAAAAUUAAGUGGACUGACUUCAUGAUUUCAUUUGAAGUUGGGUGAUAACUCAAUUCUCAUCAUUAAAUUCAAUUCCAACGACCCCACAUUUAAUUACUAUAUACUUGUUAAUUUUAGGUCAUAAUUUGAUUGUUGAAUGAAAUAAUAUGAAAAUAAGUUAUCAACUAUUCCUUCAUUCUUCUCCCAACAUCCGUUCUUCUCUUCUAGCUAUUAAGAUCAAACGCCCAUCACGUGCACAAACUAUUUUCCCAAAUCGAUCACCGGAGAAUAACAUCGAUCGAUGGCAUCUUCCGACCAGUCUCCCUCCGUCAACGGAAAAUAAUAUUCUGUUUAUCGAUACGGCCUUUUUAUUUAAUUUCCCGUUGUAUUCUUCAUACGACUUUGUUUUCAUUUAAUGUAAAUUUAAAAUUAAUUUAAAUUUAUAAUUAAUAAAUUAAUUAAUUAAAACUAAAAAUUAUAAACACCACAAAGUUUUGGUUGCAAUUUAUCUAUCAUUCCUAAACAUAUUCAUUGGAACGCACGUUUAAUAAACGCUUAAUAAUUAUAAUAAUUUUAUUUUUAUUGAACUUUUUAUUGACAAACUAAUUACAUAUAAACAGAAAUCAAAUAUAUAUAUAGCCGAUGACUUUCUUCAUCCCAUAUUUUAACAUAUAUAACAAAUUCUUAAUAUAUUGGUUUAGAACCGGAAUAAUAUAUAUUUCCUUUAUUCCAUAUAAUAUUUAAUUUUACCGUAUAUGUAUAUAUAUAUAUAUUAGCAUGCAGGACCGUAUUUUGCUACUGCCGCGGCUAUGUCUUCGGUUGUGAGAGUAGUUUUUAUGAAUGGAGAAGUACCUGUUGAAAAACGUCCUACCAAAAUCGUAUUCGUCAUGACAACAGCGGGGUUUAUAAUAUGUUCCAGGCCAAUACCAUGUCCAAUCAGAUGUAAAGCCACUGAGUGCAGAUCUAAGGAACCCGUAGGAGGACUAUGCGGGGUUGUUGACCAAGUCUCUCCUAUAUCAAAAAUGAGCGUUACUUGAAAUGGAGGACCCGGAGCCGUGGCUGUAGCUACGACAUUAGCGCCAGUUACUGACGAGAAUUGAAGAACUAUGUCGGCCCCUUUCUUCACCGAUGUCUGUGAAUAAAAUAUCGAUUAGAUGAAUAUUAUAUUAUUAUUGAUGAUAAUUAUGUUACGUUAUAAAUAUAUAUAUAUGUACACUAGUUUAAGAACUUACAAUUGCAAACUUUACACACGCCGCACGUUCCCAUGUAUCAAAAGCCUUUGUAAAUAUCCUUUUGCGGAUGUAAAAUGGAAUGGUAGUGCCAGACGGAUCGAGGUAGAACUUCACUCUACGAACGUCUCUGACCCGGGCAGUAGCAGGGAUGACUGCAUUACAGGUUUGUCCGGAUGAUGUUAUUAUGGAUGCGAGGAGGAAGAAACCAAGGAAGACAAGAUAUGACAUGGUGAAUUAAUGUCAAGAAUUUAGUUUCAAGCUUUGGGAAAUUGUGAUGUCUUCAAACUCAUCAUACACACCCAUAUUUAUACAACUUUUCUACAAUGUGAAUUUAAUGAGUUGAGAAUAAAAUGUUGACCGUAUUAAAGAGGGUGGACCCGUUUAAUGAAUAUUGAUGUCGAAAAUAUUUUAUUUUAUCACAUCAAAAUAAGUAGACAGACUUCAUUCUAUAUAGAGUUCGGUGAUAUCUCAAUUCUCACUAUUAAAUCCAAUUCCAACGACCCCACAUUUGAUUUCUACUUAUUCAUUUUGUUUAUUAAUUUAUUUAAAUAUCAUUAAAUAUGCACAUUAACUUGUAAAUUGUAAUCGGAAUCGCAUAAAUUUAGAUUUUUAUAUAAUUAAAUUGAGAUUUUGAUAUAAUUAAAAAGAUUUUGAUGUAAACUGACUUUUCAUGUCGAGAAAAAAAAUAUAAUUAAUGUUGACAAAUUUAUUUGCCCUACCUACUAAUUCUUCUGAUCAUUUGCAAUUUAUUUGGUAUCGAUAUAUAUUAGUGUGUCCAAAUUAUCAUACAAUUUUGCAUAUAUUUGCAAGUUGAAUUUUACAACUGGAAAUAGAUUACAAUUUAAAAACUUUUUUAAUUAAAAAUAAAAUAUUUUUAUUUUCUAACUUUUCAUAUCGAGAAAAAUUUAUAAUUAAUAUUAACAAAUACUUUUGUCCUAACUAGUUGUUUUUCAAUUAUCAUUAAUUCGUUAUUACACAUAUUUGCGUGUCNNNNNNNNNNNNNNNNNNNNNNNNNNNNNNNNNNNNNNNNNNNNNNNNNNNNNNNNNNNNNNNNNNNNNNNNNNNNNNNNNNNNNNNNNNNNNNNNNNNNGAAACACCCCGCUUACUAUCAGAAAAGGCGAGCUGUUUGAGAAGCUAAAGAGCCGAGCGGAUCUACCUGUCCCUCGUUCUUUAGACCCUGCAGGCAAAGAGGGCCGCAUGCAAUCUGGGAAAUACUGUGAAUUUCACAAAGACUGCGACCACCUAACAGAUAACUGCAGGGAAUUCUCGUCUUUCGUUGAGCAGUUGAUCUCAAAGGGAGAACUUGGCAACUUCGUCAAGAACUCCCGAGGACAAGACAACUGCAAACCUGACACAAAGGGGAAGCGUCCACGCUCUCCUUCGCCAGACAGUGACAACAGCGAGAACCGCCAGCGGAAGACCAUCAAUAUGAUAUUUGGUGGUGGAUCCGUUGGCAAGUGGCACUAGGGAAGGGGUUCCCCUGCCUUAAAAGCCAAGCUGUGACUGUCCUGGAAGAGCACCAGGGCAGGUUCGUUCGGGGGGGUGAGGCACCGACACAGAUUGCGCGCACAAACUGAACGUCGGCUCAUCCAUUCCAGCUCGACGCCAGAAGCGUCAAACACUCACUCCCGACAGGCGGGAGUCAGCCAAAGGAACCUGGGCAGACAAGUUGUGCAAAAUCCUAUGGGCAUAUCGCACCACGAGGAAGAGCCCUACGGGCUAGCAUAACAGAAAGGAAUAGGCCAAGAAAUAAACUAUCUUCCAACUCCGAAGGUCCCUACAUCGUUAAGGAGGAGAUAAGGCCAGGAGCUUAUCGCCUACAACGACUGGAUGGAGCAAUGAUUCCUAACACCUGGCAUGCGGACAACAUGCAGCAGUACUACGCAUAGUACUCACAAGCAUCAAGUUUAUUUUCUUUAGUUUUCCUAGUAUGUAUGUUAGCUAAUUAUAAAAUAUAUAUACGCAUUCUAACCCGUAUGGAUACCCUAAAUCUAUUGUGUCGCUUUGGCCUCAGUAGAACAAAGAUCAUUCCGUCGCUACGGCCCUAAUAAUCCCAUCCAAUCUUGUCGCUAAAAAGCCUUGAUAUUGAUCAACAAGUCACUCCGUCACUAGGAUAGGAGUCGACUACAUCGUCAAGGGUUCAAAUCCAGGGUUAGAAUAAAUAGGUCCAAUUCAGACACGCGUUGCGACCACAACUCUUAUUCGCACGAGCGAAUCAAAAACUAGUGGAUAUCAAACCACUUUCGCCUAUCGUGUUUAACUACGAUUCAUACGCCCAAACUUACGCUAAGUAAGGUGGAAAGAAUCUAACUUACGUCCAAAAGCGACUAAGUUACGAUUUAUGAUCCAACUACGAUUCGUACGACUAAACCUAUGUCCUAAGAAUCUAACUUACGUCCAGAGCGACUAAGUUACGAUUUAUGAAUCUAGUUUAACUCUAAAAACAUAUUAGCAAAAAAAAGGUGAUUUCAUUAACACAAAAAAUAGAAGGAAAUCUAUUACAAUAAUAGUUCAAUCUUCUUUCCUCGCUUCGCGAACAUCGCUUUUGAUCUUAUCUAAAGCCUCCUUGUGCUCCAGCUGCACUUCAGGAUGUUCUUCUAGCCACGCCAUAAUGUCUGAAAUGUAGUUGGCGGGCAGACUUGUAAACACGUGAGGUCCGAAAAAGUUCACGUCUUGGAGUUGAUCGGAUUGACCAUCAACUUCGAACUCCAAGUCCUUCACCUUCUCAGAAGAAACGUCCAGAGCUUCCUUCAUCUUCUUCGACUCCUCCGUGGAUCGAGAGAAGCGAUCUUGUAAAUCCUUCAGGGCAGAGGUGGAUUCAGAAACUUCAACUUGCAAUUUCUGAAUUUGUGUUUCAGAAAUCAUCGCAUUUCCCACUUCCACGUCCAGCUGCGUCUUCAGCAUAUCAAUUCGUUUUCGAGCAGCAGCGAGAAGCGACUCAUUUUCUUUCAGAGAGUCACAGCUUCGGCGAAGAUCAGUAAUUUCAAGUCGGUGCGCAGCGCACUCUUUGUUCUUCGCCGCUAUCGCUUUCUCGUGCUCAGCAGCUUGUUCCUCCAACUUCUUAUUCCGUUGGAGGGUCUUUCUCAACGACCACACUUCUUUACAGACAGCUUGAUACUUGUCAUCAAGCUUGUUAUACUCCUGUUGAGAACGGAGUGUGUCGUUCGCAGAUUGCAUCCCAAUGGUUGCAUUCGAUAGAUACGCGACCUACAAAACAAAACAAUCAAUUAGUAAAAUAAAAUAAAGCAAUUAUGCGUAACAAGCGAUUGUGAAUCACUUACAGCAGAUAUAGCUUUUCCAAGCUCUUCACGUAUCCAAUCCCCAGAUUAGUCAGAAGCAGCUUGGCAGCCUUCGUCCGCACCCCUUCAUCAGCAAACAAGCCCGGAUAAUCAAAUGUGGUGCGGAAGGGGGCGUACUCAGGAACAGACCUCGAGCUCGACCCAGUCUCGAAGGUUCUGCGGGGGCCAGUCUCUUGGGCCUUCCGUUCUCUUAUCAGCUUAGCGCCGCGAAGUCUCACGGCCAAAUGGGGAAGAACUGCCUCGCGGUAGAGAUGUGCACCCUUCUUCUUCUUUAUCGGGUUGCCAGAAGGGUCCUCUGACCGCAGGUAGUGUGCCACGUCAGAAAAAGUAAAGUCCUCUCGCUGGCACAAAGCGAAAGGAACUCCUUGCCCACAUUCAAAAGAAGCGAGAGCAGAAGAGAUCUUCUUCACCCGCUUCAGUUCAGCCUUGCUCAGGGCGCAAGGAACAUCCAGGUGUACGCGGCGAGCGUUGGCCCACCUCUCGCGACUCCCGCGUACAAAUGUAGAAUCGAUAAAAAAGAACUCACUCUUCCACUGAGGCCCAUAGUUAGUGGGGAGUUCUAUUAUCAGCUCUCUUCCGCUAAACCGCUUUGCCAACCCCAACCGACCAGAUUCGGAAGCGGGCGCCUUGACAAAUUUAAAAAACCAGAAGAACAAGGCGGCGGUUGCAGGGAUGUUCAGGAUCCAACAGAUGUUGGAGAAUCCUCUCAAGUACACAAAAAACGCUGCCUGCAUCUGCGACAGCGACACCCCCCGUGAAGAAGCACUUCACUCAUCAGUGCUGGAAUCGGCAGCAUCGAGAAGUGUCGGAAAUAGAGGCGGGGGAUGGCUUGAAACCCGGCUGGAGGCAGGUUCGCGGGCUGAUAUUGCGACCCCCAGAACCGCAAGUGCCCAGAAAUACGAAUCCCCCGUAAAAUCUCACGGGCUUCAAGUGCAGAAGUUAUCGAGAAUGGAUGCACGCUCUCGUUCUGCGGCACGAGAGGUGCAUUGACAGAAACUUCUUCAAAGGACCCCUCAUCCGUAUCACUGAGGGGUAACAAUCUGAUUUCACCACCCGGCAGAGUUUCGCAGUGAGCAUAGCCGGUGUGGUUCUCAACUCCCUCGUAGAAUAGGAGGUUUACAUGAUCUCCAUCCUUGUCCAUUUCCAAAGGAGGAGGAGGAGUGUUCGAUCUGUCAUCGCGGCUUCGACUCUGGCCGCGGUCAACUGGAAUCUCCUGAGUAUAGUUAAAGGGCUCAGGUACCCUUACAUCUUCCGCAGAGGGGAAGUGCACUUUUCCUCUACCACCCAUCCCAUAAAUAUGAGGAAUGGGGGCAUUAAUGUUGUCAGACUUCUCGGAAGAAUCCCUAGCAUGUUUAGGGUGCUUCCUCUUUCUCUUCUUCGGCCUCUCAAAUUCAUCAAUCGGCCUGUCAACAUCCACCACUUGGAUAGGUGGAAAAUCUUCAAUUCCAACCCCCGAGUUUGGGGGCAAUGUCGGCGACUUAAGUGUUGAACUCGCCGAUGUUGGUACGGAACUCGCCGAUCCGAGUUGAAUUACUCGGCGAGGUCUCUUAAACAUGGGGACAACCCCCUUGCCUUUGGCCAGCGACUUCCCAAGGGGACUCGCCGACUUAGCUGCAAGAGUCGGGGGAUCUCACCCAGUUCAAUAAGGGGCUCUGCCACGACCAGAGUCAGGGAGUCAUCCGUCAAACUCGCCGAUUUCUUGCUAGAACUCGGCGAGUUUUCAGGAGUCAGCCCGAGCAACUCGCGGGCAGUAGCAAGGAACCUGACGUUCUGAGGCGCGUCGACAGCCGGAAUCUCCGACCCACCGCGCGAAGGCGAGGGAAUCGGAGACUCGACGGUGUCGAGCACCCCCGUCAGGCCUUCAUCUAUAUCAUCGUUCAGUAUGUCGGCGACCAGAGUUUCGGUCUCCGACAUUGUCAAUCUAGGGAGAAACGGUUCGUCUGCCAUAAGUCGGCGAUUUAGAAGUAGACUCAGAGACUUGGUGAAAAGAUCUGGUGAUUGUAAUGAAAGUCGGCGAGUUAUGAAGAAGCUCGGUGACUUAGAAAGGGAUUAGGGUUUAAGCAAAAUCAGGGUAAGUGGUGUGCGGAUUAAAAUAAUCGACUCACUAUUUAUAGACCCUGGGUAAAUUGCAACCCCCCCGGAGAAUCUACAAAUUACGCGAAGAAAAAUCGCUAAUUGAUCUCCAAAUCCGCAAACUCGGCGAGUCUCUCGCAAACUCGCCGAGUUUGGGAAAAAAUCACGGGAUACGAGGAGGAAAUUUCCAUACUUGGAAAAUUUGCAAAUAUUUCCCAAGAUCCUAAGGAUUCUCGAAGAGAUCCGCCAGCUCAUACUAAAACUCGCCGAGUUUAUAGGAAAAUCGCCGAUCCAGGUCAGCGAAUCUCCAGGUUUCUCAAAAAAUACCUUCAAUACUAAGUCGGCGAGUUAACACUUUAAGUCGCCGACUUAGGAUAUACACAGUAUCUUAGGGGGAAAAUCACAAACCUCCUUCCACAACUUCAGGGGAGAGUAUCACAAGCUCUCCCGACAUUUCUAUCGCUUUGGCUAGAAAUAGUCAAACCUCAGGGGGGAGUAUCACAAGCUCUCCCGACAUUUCUAUCGCUUUGGCUAGAGAUCGUCAAAACUCAGAGGGGAGUAUCACAAACUCUCUCGACUUUUCUGUCUCCGGCCGGAAAUUGUCAAAACUCAGGGGGGAGUGUCACAAACUCUCUCGACUUUUCUGUCUCCGGCCGGAAAUUGUCAAAACUCAGGGGGGAGUAUCACAAACUCUCUCGACUUUUCUGUCGCUCCGGCCGGAAAUUGUCAAACCUCAGGGGGGAGUAUCACAAGCUCUCCCGACACUUCUGUCGCUCUGGCCAGAAGUCGUCAUACAUAAGCACGGUCAGUCUGUCGCUUCAGCCAGAUUCACCGAGGAGUGGUUAAAGUAAGGAAAAGAGUAUCGCAAGAGGUAUUUUCGGUCAAUAAUCAUAUGCGUUUUCAGACUGAUCUAGUUGUUUUGCAGGAUGUUUUCUUUUGUUGUUUUGCAGGACGUUUUCUUUUUUGCAGGUAUUAUUCUGUCGCUUUGGCAAGAAUAAGACUCUAAUAGUGAGUCCAAGUAUCUUGUCGCAUUCUGCCUUGAUACACUAGAGAUCGUUCUGUCGCUUUAGCCUUAACGAUUCUCAACCCAUCUUGUCGCUAAAAAGCCUUGAAGGGGGCCGUCGUUGCGGACUUUAAGUCGCUCUUGAUCAGAGUGGACUAUAAACAUUAGUUCUAUCGCUUCGGCUAGAACUUGGGUCUAUCGCUCUGGCAAGAACCCGAUUAUGUCGCUAAAUAGCCUUAAUCGAUUCCGUCGCUUUGGCCGAAAUUUAUCUUGUCGCUUCGGCCUCGAUAACACAGUGCAGUCGCCCCUGAUCAGGGAAGGACUAUAAACAUGAGUUACCGUGGCCUGGAACUCGAUCUAUUCUUAUCGCUUUGGCCUAUGGAUUCUGAAUCAUUACGUCACUGUGGGCGGAUGAUUCGAUCUCAUCUUGUCGCUUUGGCCUUGGUGCUGGGUCUAACACUUUGAACCUUGAUUGACGGGGGGGGUACUAGUGAUACACCAUGUUUCUUGUGCUCUCUUCAGGGGGGAGUACUGGAGAGACAUGCCUGAUUACACCAGUCACUACCCAUCAACGCCUCUCAACAAGGACUAGGGCUCCGUCGCUAUGGCAGGACCCCCGGAGAGCUCCCACGGUGCGGAACACGUUCAUCGUCUAGAUCGCCGAGUUAGCCCGUAAAGUCGCCCGAUUGGACUACCAAGUCGCCGACAUACAGGAUAACUCGCCGAGUUAAGGCAAGAUCGGCAGUAUGGUAGACUGUACAUCUUGGACCUAGAAACUCGCCGAGUUAGCCCUUAACUAGGCGACUUCCAUACCUGAAUCGGCGACUUACGACCGUUACUCGGCGGCAGCCAACGUCAUAAAUGUUACCAUAUAUGACCAUAGGCGCGAUCUCCGCCGAUGAGUGCGCCCUCCGAGACCCUAUAAAAGGGGUCCCAAGGGGACACUCAAAGGCACGAUUCAAGUUCCACUCUCACACCAGAGCACCACACUACGAAACUCGGCGAGUCUCAUUAGAAUCGCCUAGUUUCCACUUGCAGGUAUUUGAUGUAGAGCGUGCGUCGUGGACUCCAAAGCCUCCGGCAUCAACCUCGCACCACCUCGAGCCCUGGUAGCAGAUUCAGUGCUUCAUCACCUAUGUAGACGAUCUAUUGGUCACAGGGAAUAACAUUAACUAAAUAAAUAAAACAAAAAUGGAACUAGCAAAUUUUUUCAACAUAAAAGAUCUAGGAAAAUUAAAAUAUUUCCUAGGACUAGAAUUCACCUAUGCACAAACAGGAAUAUACAUGGGACAAAGAAAAUAUAUACUAGACCUGUUAGAAUCAACCGGGUAUCUGAAUUCAAAACCAAAAACUACACCAGCAAAGAAAAUAACAAAAAGGAAAAUGAUGAAACAGAACUCGAGGAUGCCACACAAUACAGGAGCAUAGUAGGAAAAUUAAUGUACCUGCUAACUGUAACAAGACCAGACAUAACAUACGCAGUAAAUACACUAAGCCAAAACAUGGCUAAACCAAGGCAAAAUGACCUAAACGCAGCACAUAAAGUGCUAAAAUAUAUUAAACAAUCACCUUGUUUUGCUAUCUCUUUCUCAGGAUCCAACACAUCAGGAUUAAGAGCCUUCUCAGAUUCCGAUUGGGCAUCAUGUCCUUCAACAAGGAGAUCGACAACAGGGUUCGCCAUAUUUCUUGGGGGAUCUCUAAUAUCAUGGCAAACAAAAAAACAACACACAGUUGCUAGAUCAUUAGCAGAAGCGGAGUACAGGGCAUUAGCAUAUACAAGUUACGAGAUAACAUGGAUCAUCAAUCUACUAAAAGAAAUCAGAACUUACAAGAAUGAGACACCAAUCCUUUACAUGGACAGCAAGUCUGCAGCAGCAAUAGCAAAGAACCCAGUACUACAUCAAAGAACAAAACACAUCGAGAUUGAUAUUCACACAGUGCGCGAUAAAAUCAUGGAAUUUUUUUUGAAGAUAGACAGGACUCGAGAAUGAAUGUAGCCAACAUGUUUACAAAGCCAGUAAUGGGAACAUUGUACAAAAUACUACUGAUGCAACUCGGAAUGAAGAACAUACAUCAAGGAAGAACAGAAAAUAAAAUCAAAGAAGGUGAAGGAAGGGAAGAAAACCUUUGACACCGAAGCGACUCCUGCCAAAACCCUAGGAUCACCAGCCGACAAUAUUCAAAGAAAAACCCCACACACGCCUUUUAUAGUAACACCAAUAAAACUAACCCAAUAAAUCCCUAUAUCCAUAUAUCCGAAUAACCGAAUAUCCACAUCCAUAUAUCCGAAUAUAAGCCCAUAACCCAAAUACUAGCCCAAAUCUUAGUAGCUUAUGGCCUUAUUUUCGAGGGAGACUAUUAGAAUUAUUGGGAAAAUUAUCCCUCUAGUACCUACAAAACUAUAAUAUCUCAUUACUUAUUAUCCAAUCCAAUCAUUCUCAAUAUAUACCUACUUCCUAAUAUAUUACUCCCUAAUAUAUCUAUUUCCUAAUCCAAUUUAUUACCAUAAUUAAUCACACCAACCAAACCUACCUAAACCUUUAUAGCCGUUGGGUUUCUACCUCUAUAAAUAUGGAUCAUCAUAACAUAACCUAUAGGUUUUGGAUUCAAGUUUUUGGUCCCAAAUCACCAUCUCUAUCUUCUUCAAUCUGUUCUCUGGAAUCUGCAAUCUGUCCUCUGGAAUUCAAAUCAUCUGAUCAAGCUUGCUCUUCAUCUGGAGAUUAUUCAUUUGAUCUGUUCAUCAUCUUCAUCAUCUCCAGCAACUACAUUCUGCAAUCAUCUUAAUCUUCACGAAUCUGUAUUGUCAUUUACUUUCCAACAAGUUCAAUAUUGUCAUACAUAAAUAUUGCAUUACAUCUCAAAUACUUGGAUAAUCAUACAUCAUAAUUAUAUAAUUCUAACAACAAUAGACCCAACAAAAGCCGGUAGCAGAUCCACAACGCUAUGCAGAUUGUUAAGCAUCAUCCAAGACACCUCUCGUGGGAGUACCGGAAGUAUAUCCUUAACUUUAAACGACAUCUUCAACACGUCCACACCCAACAACGAUCCCCAUCUUCCGCCGCACACCGCGAGCCACAAAACCCACAGGAAAGCAGUUGUCGUGGUCAUGAGGUAGCGAAAGCUGUGCCUGCCUGGUCAUUUAAUUGCCACACGGAACAGUGGAAGUUUUGCCUUUUGGCAUUUGGUGGUAUAUUUAUCAAAACCAUAUACUUAAAACUCAUUCCCAAUUUCCCACACUAUUAUGUGCAACGGGGGAUGAAGAAAUUACUGGUGGAUACCAUUUGGGUAGACGAUGAACCGGAACCAUGAAAUGGACAAUCGAUAAGGACUGGAGCCAUCACCUGAACAAAUGAACUAGAACCAUUACCGGAAUAAAGGAAGACGCCGAAAACUGGAAUGCACUCGCCGAAAACGGAACUGCGGAAGACGGACAUGAUCGAGAAACAGAACGAUGAACGAAGAAGAACGGAAAUCGUCGAUCGGAAACCCAGAAAUAGACGGCGGAAAAAAACUAGCCGGAGAACUGCGGAAGACAAUCGACUGAAAAUAACCGAGGAAAAAAACUAGCUGGAAAAAAGCCCCUUGAACAAAUGUCACAGUCAUAUCAAUUAAAUUAAUAAUUUCUAAAUUAUUUGAAAACAAAUCUUUAAUGAGUGAGGUAACUUUCCGUUUAUCCAAAUUUUGUGGUUCAUUAAAAGAUUGCUCGUCUGUACAUAUAUGUGGUAUAUAAAAAAGAAAACAAGUUAAAAAUUAAAAUACAGUUUUUUUUAGAUACGCUCAAAAUCACUCACCCUAUCUAAACUAUUGGAUCUUCUUAUAGUCAAUCUUAGUCGUUAUUUUUUUAAUCAUUAAAGCGGUUUGGACCCAGAGUCCCGAGUUCGGGUCCAGAUUAGCCAGACCCGGCUGGACCUAGACCCGGAUAUUAUAAUUGUUAGAUAAAUAUUUUAUAAUAUAUUAGUAAGUUAAGGUUUAAAUAUAAAUAUUUUAAAAUAUAUUUUAUAAUAUAUUAAUAACUUAAGGGUUAAAUAUAAAUACACCAUUUAUAUUUUAUAGAAUUUGUAUCAGUUAAUCUGAUCCGUCGGUUGUCUAAUCGAUGGAUCAAAUAUUGAAUUUUGAUUUUUUGGUUAAUUUUGUCAUUAGUAAUGUUUUACCUGUUUUUGUAGGUAAAGUUUAUAAGGGUUGAUAGGUUAGGUUGAUACGUGUGCAGUUAUAGGUCUUUUAUUAUAUAUUUAUUGCUUUGUCUUGUCUAUGUGCAUGUCUUCUUCUAUUUCAGUUCAUCAUUCUCCUGUUUUUCUGUUUCUUCUCCUGUUUUUCUUAUUUUUCUCCAGUUUUUCUUCUUUUUCGGUGUUGAGUUUAUCAUUCUCAUGUUUUUCUCCUUCUUCUUUAGUUUUUCUUCUUCUUUUUAUUUGAAACUGGAUUUUCCAUUGUAACAGGUGUUUUCUUCUUCUUCUUGGGUUUUAUUUUCUUUAUAUUGAUUUUACCAUUUUCCAGUUUAAUCUCAUCUGUUUAUUUGGUUUACAUUCCUUUGAUUUCAGUGCGUUAGGCCCUAGGGCAGGAGUUAUAAAUACCUCCCAUGGUGCAGAAGGGAGGGGGAUCGGUUACCUGAGAAUAGGAAUAGUAGAGAAUUGUGUGUGUGAGCACCUCAGCGCGAGCCCACACACCAUCAACGGUGAACCUGACGUGAAACUAAUACUCAACCGGAGAGAGGAUGGUCGGAGGGAGCUGGUUCCACAAAGGGCAAAGCUCGAAGCAGCUCGGGCAGAAACAGCUCGCGACAGGGAGCUGAGCCCGAAUACUGCAAGGGCGGAGCGAUCGCGAGAGGAGGGGAAGACUCGGAUAGAUCCGAUCCCUACUUCUCAUACAGAAAGCAGUGCGUCGCCUGGGCGCUCGAGACCCAGGAGGCAGCGUGGAGGGCGAGAAUGGAGGAUGCGGACAGGGUGGCCUGGCACAAGGAGAGGGACGCCGCAAAGGAGAUGGCCCGACGUUUGAAGAAGGACGACAGACGUAGGGAGGAGAGGAAACAGAGACGGGAGAGGCGGGACCGCUCCCGGACCCCAACGGAGAGGGGGGAGCGCCGCAGGAGGAAGCCCUUAGAAAAUGCGAAGCUCUCGGAAAUGGUCUCCGCUCUACAGAACAGCCAGCGGCAGUUGCGAGAAUAGGUCCUCCAACUAACCGCCGAACGGUGAGUGCUGGAGUCGGAUGGCGUUGGUGGAGGCACAGCAGGGGGGACCCCGCGAGUGGAGCGAUAGUCACGGUGCCCGGCACGGGGGGUGGGGAAUCCCUAGCACAACAUUUGCUGGAGGGCGAGUACCCCAUCGGCUGGAGAACCCCAAAGAUCCCCGAGUACAAGCUAGAGAGAUAUCGACCCAAGCGACCACCUUUAUUCCUUUAAAACAAACAUGGAGGACAGAACCGAUAGGAAGGACAUUUGGUGUAGAAUGUUUCGAAGGGCGUUCGCGGGUGACGACGUAGCGUGGUACAGAACACUCCCCAAGGCCUCGGUCCAUACCUUCGAGGAGCUAGAGAGAACCUUCUUGGCGGCGUUCGCCCACAAGUGAAGGAGACCGAAGACCAAAACCACCCUCAGUGCAGUAGUACAGGGGGACUUCGAGAGCACGCGAGCGUACAUGAACCGGUUCGCGAGGGUGGUGAAGGAAAUCAAAUGUAACGCCACUGACUCCAGAUCUAAGGAAUUUGUAGGAGGAGUAUUCGAGCCUGUUGACCAAGUCUCUCCUAUAUCAAAAAUGAGCGUUACUUGAAAUGGAGGACCCAGAGCCAUGGCCGUAGCUACAUGAGGGUCAGCUACUGACGAGAAUUGAAGAACUAUGUCGGCUCUUCUAUUCACCGAUGUCUGUGAAUAAAAUAUCGAUUAGAUGACUAUUAUAUUGUUGAUGAUAAUUAUGUUACGUUAUAAAUAUAUAUAUAUGUACAAUUGCAAAAUUUACACACGCCGCACGUUCCCAUGUAUCAAAAGCCUUUGUAAAUAUCCUUUUGCGGAUGUAAAAUGGAAUGGUAGUGCCAGACGGAUCGAGGUAGAACUUCACUCUACGAACGUCUCUGACCCGGGCAGUAGCAGGGAUGACUGCACUACAGGUUUGUCCGGAUGAAGUUGUUAUGGAUGCGAGGAGGAAGAAACCAAGGAAGACAAGAUAUGACAUGGUGAAUUAAUGACAAAAAUUUAGUUUCAAGCUUUGGGAAAUUGUGAUGUGUUCAAACUCAUCAUACACACCCAUAUUUAUACAACUUUUCUACAAUGUGAAUUUAAUGAGUUGAGAAUAAAAUGUUGACCGUAUUAAAGAGGGUGGACCCGUUUAAUGAAUAUUGAUGUCGAAAAUAUUUUAUUUUAUCACAUCAAAAUAAGUAGACAGACUUCAUUCUAUAUAGAGUUAGGUGAUAUCUCAAUUCUCACUAUUAAAUCCAAUUCCAACGACCCCACAUUUGAUUUCUACUUAUUCAUUUUGUUUAUUAAUUUAUUUAAAUAUCAUUAAAUAUGCACAUUAACUUGUAAAUUGUAAUCGGAAUCGCAUAAAUUUAGAUUUUUAUAUAAUUAAAUUGAGAUUUUGAUAUAAUUAAAAAGAUUUUGAUGUAAACUGACUUUUCAUGUCGAGAAAAAAAAUAUAAUUAAUGUUGACAAAUUUAUUUGCCCUACCUACUAAUUCUUCUGAUCAUUUGCAAUUUAUUUGGUAUCGAUAUAUAUUAGUGUGUCCAAAUUAUCAUACAAUUUUGCAUAUAUUUGCAAGUUGAAUUUUACAACUGGAAAUAGAUUACAAUUUAAAAACUUUUUUAAUUAAAAAUAAAAUAUUUUUAUUUUCUAACUUUUCAUAUCGAGAAAAAUUUAUAAUUAAUAUUAACAAAUACUUUUGUCCUAACCAGUUGCUUUUCAAUUAUCAUUAAUUCGUUAUUACACAUAUUUGCGUGUCCAAAAUAUUUUAUUUUAUCACAACAAAAAAGUGGACAGACUUCAUUCUAUCUGAAGUUGGGUGAUAUCUCAAUUCUCACUAUUAAAUCCAAUUCCAACGACCCCACACAUGAGAUUUCUACUUGUUCAUUUUGGUUAUUAAUUUAUUUAAAUAUCAUUAAAUAUAUGCAUUAACUUGUAAAUUGUAAUCGGAAUCGCAUAAAUUUAGAUUUUUAUAUAAUUAAAUUGAGAUAUUGAUAUAAAUUAUUUUUUUAUAUAAUUAAAAAGAUUUUGAUGUAAAACUGACUUCUCACGUAGAGAAAAAAAUAUAUGAUUAAUGUUGACAAAUUUAUUUGCCCUACCUAAUAAAUCUUCAGAUCUUUUGCAAUUAAUUUGGUAUCGACACUUUAACGGAUCCAAAUAAUCAUACAAUUUUGCAUACAUUUGCAAGUUGAAUUUUAUCACUGAAAAUAGAUUGCAAUUUAUAAAUUAUUUUAAUUAAAAAUAAAAUAAAAAUAUAUUAUUUUUUCUUCUAAUUUUUUACAUCAAGAAAAAUUUAUAAUUAAUAUUGACAAAUACUCUUGUCCUAACUAGUUGCUUUUCAAUUAUCAUUAAUUCGUGAUUACACAUAUUUACGUGUCCAAAAUAUUUAUUUUAUCACAUCAAAAGAAGUGGUCAGACUUCAUUCUAUCUGAAGUUGGGUGAUAUCUCAAUUCUCACUAUUAAAUCCAAUUGCAACGACCCCACAUUUGAUUUCUAGUUGUUCAUUUUGGUUAUUAAUUUAUUUAAAUAUCAUUAAAUAUGUACAUUAACUUGUAAAUUGUAAUCCAACGUGAUCGUAUAAAUUAUUUUUUGAUAUAAUUAAAAAGAUUUUGAUGUAAACUGACUUUUUGCGUCGAUAAAAAAUAUAUAAUUAAUGUUGACAAAUUUAUUUGCUCUACCUACUAAAUCUUCUGAUCAUUUGGAAUUAAUUUGGUAUCGACACAUAUUAGUGUGUCCAAAUUAUCAUACAAUUUUGCAUAUAUUUGCAAGUUGAAUUUUAUCACUGAAAAUAGAUUACAAUUUAUAAAUUAUUUUAAUUAAAAAUAUUUUAUUUUUCUCUUCUAAUACCACAAAAUAUAUGGACAAACACAAGUACUUUAUCUAAAGUGGAAUGAUAUUCUCAUGCACCAUUAAAUCCAACCACACAUAAGGGUUCAUUUUAUCCAAACCCCAACCCCACAUUUUUCACCAUUAAUUCUCACAAUUAAAUCCAACCCCAAUCCCAAAUUUAAUUACAAGUUUUUUCUUUUAGGUCAAAAUUUAUUUAAAUGUCAUUAAAUAUGUGCAUAAACAUGUAAAUAAUAAUCUAAUGUAAAUAGUAUAAAAUAAGAUUUUUAUAUAUUUAAUAGAUUUGGAUUUAAACAGACUUUUCACGUAUAGAAAAAUAUAUAAUUAAUGUCAAACAAUUAACUUGCCCUACCCAAUAAUUCCUUUUGACCGCUUACAAUUAAUUUGAGAUCGACACAUAUUUGCGUGUCCAAAUUUGCAUACAAUUUUGUAUACAUUUGUAAGUUGAAUUUUAUCACAAAAAAUAGAUUACUAUUUAUAAACUAUUUUAAUUAAGAAAAAAUAAAAAUGUUUUAUUUUUCUCUUCUAACUUUUCACGUCGAGAAAAUUGUAUAAAUAAUAUUGACAAAUACCCUUGUUCUAACUAGUUACUUUUCACUUAUCAUCAAUUUAUGAUCGACACAUAUUUGAGUGUCCAAAUUAUUUUACUUUAUCAUACCAAAGUAAGUAGACAAACUUCAUUUUAUCUGAAGUUUAGUGAUAUCUCAAUUCUCACUAUUAAAUCCAAUUCCAACGACAUCAUAUUUAAUUACUAGUUGUUAAUUUUAGGUCAUAAUUUAUUUAAGUGCCAUUAAAUAUGUGCAUAAACUUGUAAAUUGCAACCCAAUGGCAUCUUAUAUAAAUUUAGAUUUUUAUAUAAUUAAAUUGAGAUUUGGAUAUAAACUAUUUUUUGAUAUAAUUAAAUAAAUUUUGAUGUAAAAUGACUUUUCACGUCAAGAAAAAAUGAUGUAAAUUUUUUAUUUUCCCUACCUAAUAAUUCUUCUGAUCAUUUGCAAUUAAUUUGAGAUCGACACAAAUUCUUCUGAAUUUUAUCACAGAAAAUAGAUUACAAUUUAUAAACUAUUUUAAUUAAUUUAAAUAAAAAUGUUUUAUUUUUUACUUCUAACUUUUUACGUCGAGAUUUUUUUUAUAAUUUUUGUUGACAAAUACCUUUGCCCUAACUAGUUAUUUUUGUAGAAUCUAAAUUGUUGAUGCAUAUUAUGUAUUGAUAAUCAUGUUUAGUUAACCAUUAUCAUGUUGUUAUUCCCUAGCUAGGAUAAAUUGAAUUUGAAUUAAACCUAAUUUCAAUUAGGUUUAAUUAUAUUAAACCUUAGAAUUAUUUGAGCAUGUCUAAAUAAAGUCAAAAUUCAAAGAACGAUUUUUAUGGUCAACAAGUCAACAUGUUGUAGUUGAGAAUCAAUAGGGUAAAUUGAUUUGAAUUAAACCUAAUCUCAAUCAGGCACAUAUUAACCUUAGAAUUAUUUGACCAUAUAAAAAUUCAAGUCAAAAGUCAAAACCCUAAUUUCGUGGUCAACAUGUCAACAUUGUGUAUUUGAGAAUUAUUCCUAAUUACCAUUAACUAUUCUUAAUCUUUGUCUUAUAGCAAAUUUCAAUAUAAGGAUGGAAAUAAUACAAAAGAGGAAUUCAUGUGAAUAAUACAAGAAAUACAUGGGUUGAAGAGAAGCUAAACCUUGAUUAAAGAUAAACUUAUCAUAGAACAAAGGAAAAAUAUCCAACCACAUUUUUUACUCUUGUGAAAGAUCAAGGAACUAUUGAUUCAAGAUCUAAUGGAGAAGAUCAUUUGGUCAAAGCUAUAAAUAGAGUGGUAUACCCAUUGCAAAAGCCAACCACGCUACAAGAGAUUUUCAAAUAUCAGCAUUGAGCCCCUCAUUUCCACUCUUAACGUCCACAACUUUCAAAAUCUCCAAGUUUCCAACGUUUUCAAAUUGUGUUCAAAUGUUCUUGUUCAAAGGUGUCAAAAGCUCUACACUUCUUCUUCUAAUCUUCUUGAGUGUUCAUAGCAAGUUUGAAGUGUUGUAAUCCUAAACUUUCUCCAUCAUUUUCGUGUGUAUUCCACUUUAGUUGAGAGAGUUGUCUCAAAAUCACCAAAGUGGAAAGGAGGGUUAUUAGGCUUAAUCAUAAAGCUCUAAGUUAGUUUUAUAGAGUUAUCUAGAAAACUCUUAGGUGCUAUACGUCUACCUGGAAAGACUUGGGAAAGUUUUAAGUUUACUUUAAAAACUUAAAUGGUUCGUAAGCAUUGUAGUCUGUAAAAAGCCUACAAAAGGUUCGUAAGCAUUCACUACAAGAAAAGAAAUCUACAACGACGAUUUUGGAUCAUCGCUCAAUUUUAAGAAGGAUUUUAAAGAAAACACACGAUGUUAGCGACGAUAUAAAAAUGAUCUUUUUUUGUAUAAUUAACGACGAUAUAUUGAUAAUCGUCGCUAAAUAUACGAAUUAUAGCAACGAUUUAAAAUUUAACGUCGCUAAUAAUGAGUACAAAUUUAUAAAAUUUUAUAACAAUAAGGUAUUUAUGUAAAAUGACCCUUUUAUAUAUAAUUGUCUUUUAUUAUAAAAUCCCAAAUUUCCCUUUCACUAAGCCUAAACGCUCCAUUUUCCCAAUCUCUCCUAUCGCCGAAUUUCCCCAAUCUCCCCUAUCACUGGAUUUUCCCGCCAGUCAUCAUCAACGGACGAUAGAUUUUCCUAUCGGUCAUCAUCAACGAACGCCGGCAUCAAUAUGGAGCAGAUAUGUUCAUUGGGUUUCUAGCUGUAUCUUCCCUAUUUCUGUUUGGAUUUCUUGUUGGAUUUCUGUUUGGGUUUGUCAUUGGAGCUUGUUUGCAUCUUUCUGUUUGGGUUUGAAUCCUUGCUAAUUCGUUUUACACAAUGUUUUGUUUCUGUUUGAAUCGUUGCAUCGUUUUGUUUCUGUUUGAAUCCUUGCAUCGUUCUAUUUGGAUUUGAAUCCUAGCAAAUUCGUUUUACACAAUGUUCUGUUUCUGUUUGAAUCCUUGCAUCGUUCUGUUUGGAUUUAUGUUUGGGUUAGGAUUUUAUACAAUAUCAAAUAUAAAACUAAUAUCCUUUAGAAAUGCCAAAUAGUUUCAAAUUAAGACAUCAAUUAUCAAUCAAUAAAAUUAAAAUACAAGCAUAUCACAAAAAAAAUACUCGAUAUAUUGAUUGCUGGCAAUUGGAGAUGGUGGAUCUCCAGGUUGUAGAUUUAUAAAGUAUUUAUUUUUAUUUGGGGAUUGGAAAUUCUGUUUGGAUUUAUGUUUGGUGGGAAUGGGCUGGGAUCAUGUACUUAUAAUCAUAGAAUCCACUAGAUCAUCAGAUUAUAAGUGAUUUUCAUACCGAACCAGACCUGAAUAGGGGUUAUAUACAUUCUCAUUAUGAGAGGGUUCUAGCAUAUGUAAAUGGAAUUACUCGUUUGAAUCAGUUUUACACAAUGUUGAAUCGGUUUAAUUCGUUUUACACAAUAUUCUGUUUCUGUUUGAAUCAGUCAUUAUAUUACUGUUGGUGUAUAGACUUGUCGGUGCAAGCUCAAAACCUCAACUCUCUCAAGUGUUCACUCUCUCGUAUUGUCAACCCCCUCCCCUGUUGGACCAGGAGAGAUAUUUAUAGUUUCUUCUCGCCGACCUCGGGCCUCGUGGGCUCGUGUGUUGGGCCCGUCCACUCGCCUGGGCCGCCGACAGGCCCUGUUCGGUCCAUGGUACCAACAGUACUCCCCUCUUCCUCGACGGGCCCGGGCCCGGGGGCCGCCUGUCCCCGUCCCGUCUACAACCACCUCCAUUAAAGCUCCUCGGUGUUUGAGCCCAUCCUCCUUCUCCUUCCUAUAAAUAGCCUACUCGACUCUUCAACUUCUCAUACCAUCCCCCCUUCCGCCAUGAGUGUUCAAGACAUCCUCGAAGAGUACGGUCGCGAAGUGCAACUUCAGCAUGCCGCCUGGGCCAUGUGCCUGAUGUCGCCCGCCGACGUCCCUAACAGCGUGGCCGUGGCCGAGACUCAACGUCUAAACGCCGUGUUGAUCGACGUCCAUCGUCACCUCUCCCAGGUUCGCCACUCCGACCUUCUCGCCUACCCCGGUACCGCUCUUGCCGCCGUCUCGGGCUCCGCCGGCACCUCGCGUGCCUUCAGCGCGUAUGGUAUGAUCACCGCUCCUGCUGUCGCCGCCGCUGCCGAUUCUCUGCCAAAGCGUCGUCGGUCGCGCGGCCAUCGCCGCUCCCGGGGGUCUUCGUCCCUUCCGGCUACUGACCUGUGCCACUUCCUGUCGGGGUCCUCGAAGUCGGCCCGUGAUGAAGCACGGAAUCUGCUACCAGUAGGCUCGCGGGGUGGCGAGAUGAUCCGGAGGCUGUGGAGUCCACGACGCGCGCUCUACGUCAAACACCUGCAGAAGAGGAGGGGAAUCGACGACUCACGUGGGAGUAGACGAUUCGGGCUCCUUGGUUGCUCUAGUGUGGAGUGUGAGUCAAGAGAGUAAGUCAUGGAUGGAGGACACCCCUAGGACCCCUUUUAUAGGGUCCUAGAGGCGUUUCCAUUCAAUGGAGUGGGGCCCACCUCAUUAUGGUGCCCUAUUGAAGGGUGCCAUAAUGGGGUGGGCCCGCCCGCGUAACGGUUGGGAGUCGCCGAUCCAGGAGUGGAGUCGCCGAUUCCUUGGAGGCCAAGUCCUCGGUCUACCAGACCCGAGAUCCCUGGCCGGAAUCGGCGAUUCACCCUUGGAGUCGGCGACUUGGUAGUCCCAGUCGGCGACUCCUAAGUGUUAACUUGGGCUUUUGACGUAGACACGUGCUUCGCACCGUGGAAGCCUUUCCAGGGGUCCGGCAUAUAGUGACGGAACCCUAUUCCUUGUUUGAAGGGCGUUGCUGGGAGUGACUGACGUAAUCAGGCAUGUCUCACCAGUACUCCCCCCUGAAGAGAGUAUGGCUGAACACCCGUGUACCGCCAGUAUCCCCCCCCAAGCAAGGUGAUCCGCAUCAAGGCCAAAGCGACAAGAUGGGAUCGAAUCAAUGUGGCCACAGCGACACAAUGACUCCGUUACCCAUGCACUAUUAGAUGGGUUGAUUCACUAUCAGAAUCUAGUUCCAGGCCAAUAGAACUACGUGUUUAUAGUCCAACUCUGAUCAGGAGCGACUCUUUCUGUGUUAUCAUCAAGGCCGAAGCGACAAGAUGAAGGGAGAUUAUUAAGGCCCAAAGCGACAAAAUAAUUCUCAUCCAUUAAGGCCAAAGCGACAAAAUGAAGCGACUCGCUAUCAGAGUCUGAUUCUGACCAAAGCGACAGAAUGCGUGGAUCCUGGCCAAAGCGACAAGAUCUAGUUCACUAUCAGAACUGAUGUUUAUAGUCCACCCUGAUCAAGAGCGACUUUACGUCCGCAACGACGGUUACCCCACUAAGGUCGAAACGACAAAGUGGGUCGAGAUCAUUAAGGCCAAAUCGACAAAAUGAUCUCCAAGUCUAUCAAGGCCAAAGCGAUAAGAUAAGAGAAUUAUUGAGGCCAAAGCGACAAAAUAAUUCUUGGUCCAUUGAGGCUAUAGCGACAAAAUGGACUGACUCGUUAUUAGAGUCUGAUUUUGGCCGAAGCGACAGAAUGCGUGGAUCCUGGCCAAAGCGACAGGAUCGUUCCUGCAAAACAACUACAUCAGUCUAAAGGAUAUAUUUAUUGACUUACUGACCUUGCCGUGCGGGGCUGCUCCUCGUGCUGCUCCUUCCUAUGCUCAAUAAAUCCUCGAUUGAUCUGGCCGAAGCGACAGAUCUAUCAUGCUCAUGGUGUGACAGCUUCUGGCCAAAGCGACAGAAGUGUCGGGAAGAGUUUAUGAUACUCCCCCCCGAAUUUGACAACUUCUGGCCAAAGCGACAAGAGUGUCGGGACGAGCUUAUGAUACCCCCCCUUGAGAUCAUUAAGGCCGAAGCGUCAAAAUGACCCCUGGUCUACUAAGGCCGAUGCGACGAAGCAGACCGACUCACUAUCAGAGUCUGAUUCUGACCAAGGCUACAGAUCCACUAUCAGGAUCUACCAACCUCUUAUUCAUGACUGUUCCCUUAUUGGCAGGAACAUUGCCUCGAUGGCGCAGGCCAAUAGCAUGUCCAAUCAGAUGUAAAGCCACUGAGUGCAGAUCUAAGGAAUUCUGAGGACGAGGAGGAGUAUCGCCUUUUGCCCAAAUCUCUCCUGAAUCAAAAGUGAGCUCUACUUGCGGACUUGGAGGAGCCGUGGCCGAAGCUACAUGAGGUCCAGGUAUUGGCAAGAAUUGAAGAACUAUGUUGGCCUGACUUUUCACCGAUGUCUGUGAAUAAAAUAUCGAUUAGAUGAGUAUUAUAUUGUUGAUGAUAAUUAUGUUACGUUAUAAAUAAAUAUGUAGAUGAGUAUUAGGAACUUACAAUUGCAAAAUUUACACACGUCUGAGCUUCCCAUGUAUCGAAAGCCUUUGUAAAUAUGUUUUUGCAGAUGUAAAAUGGAAAAGGACAAGUCGGAUCGAUGUAGAACUUCACUGUACCACACCCCCAUUUUGCACAAAAAGGAGUGAAGUCGUUAUUGACUGCACUACAGGUUUGUCCAGAUGAUGUUGUUAUGGAUGCGAGGAGGAAGAAACCAAGGAAGACAAGAUAUGACAUGGUGAAUUAAUGACUAGAAUUUAGUUUCAAGCUUUGGGAAAUUGUGUUGUGUUUAAACUCAUCAUACACACCCAUAUUUAUACAACUUUUUUACAAUGUGAAUUUAAUGAGUUGAGUAUAAAAUAUAGCCAUGUUCAAUGUAUAUUAAAACUUUUAUAAAAUUCAAAUGUAUCUGAGGAUCGUAUUAAAAAGAAUAUGUACGAUGAAUAAUUUGUGGACAUGCAUAUAUAUAUUUUCGUAACACAACUUCAAUCCGCAUAAAGUUAACGAUCUUAUCUUAAAAAAAUUGGUUGUAUUUUAAAUACAUAUUAUAAUUAUGUUUAUUAUACAAAAUUAAAUUUUAUUAUAUUUUAAGCAAAAUAAAUUACAAUUUAAUUAUAUACUAUUUUCUGAUAAAAUCGAAAAAAUAUCGCCAUUGACUGCACUACAGGUUUGUCCAGAUGAUGUUGUUAUGGAUGCGAGGAGGAAGAAACCAAGGAAGACAAGAUAUGACAUGGUGAAUUAAUGACUAGAAUUUAGUUUCAAGCUUUGGGAAAUUGUGUUGUGUUUAAACUCAUCAUACACACCCAUAUUUAUACAACUUUUUUACAAUGUGAAUUUAAUGAGUUGAGUAUAAAAUAUAGCCAUGUUCAAUGUAUAUUAAAACUUUUAUAAAAUUCAAAUGUAUCUGAGGAUCGUAUUAAAAAGAAUAUGUACGAUGAAUAAUUUGUGGACAUGCAUAUAUAUAUUUUCGUAACACAACUUCAAUCCG